GAUUAACUGGGGAGGGAAAAUUUAGCCUGAAUAUGGAUGGCUCUGACCCAUGGACUGGGGUCCUAGAGUGAAUAAAAAGGGAAAAGGGAGAAAAUGAGCUGACCAGCAUUUGUCUUUCUUCUUCCUGAGUAAAGAGCUGUAAUGUACCCAGUUGCUUCCCUUCCUUGCUAUGAUUUCUCCACCAGAAUUGACUGCAUCCCUUUCAACCAUCAUCUAAACCAAGCUGUUCUUCUUCAUGUUGCUCCUGACAGGUCUUUCAACUACUGCCCCAGGGCACCAGCUAACCUGGUUUAUUGGAUGAUGUGACUUUCUUCUGCCUGACAAAAACACCAUGCUUCUUGCCAAGACGAUAAUGAACCGAACCUCUGAAACUCCCUCCAGUGAAACAGCCAAAGAAGACUGAAAAGCUCUCAGUCCAUUCGGAUUCCCUCAGCCUUGCCCUUUCCUGUUUACCCAUAAUGGACAGGCUCAGUCUUUGGAGAAAGACCCAUCUGCAUUUGGAUUCUGCUGAAGACAUUGGCUUG